GACAGAGGGUGCAAACGUUGUUCGGAAUUACUGGGCGUAAAGCGUGUGUAGGCGGUCCUAUAAGUCGGGUGUGAAAGCCCCGGGCUCAACCCGGGAAGUGCACUCGAAACUGCAGGGCUGGAGUACUGGAGAGGUUGGUGGAAUUCUCGGUGUAGAGGUGAAAUUCGUAGAUAUCGAGAGGAACACCGGCGGCGAAGGCGGCCAACUGGACAGAUACUGACGCUGAGACACGAAAGCGUGGGGAGCAAACAGG
rnacentral:rRNA from 2 species